UCUACGGGAGGCAGCAGUGAGGAAUUUUGCGCAAUGGGGGAAACCCUGACGCAGCAACGCCGCGUGGGUGAUGAAGGCCUUCGGGUCGUAAAGCCCUGUCGGGCGGGAAGAAGGGGUUUUGGGCAAAUAGCCCAAGAUUUUGACGGUACCGCCAGAGGAAGCACCGGCUAACUCCGUGCCAGCAGCCGCGGUAAUACGGAGGGUGCGAGCGUUAUUCGGAAUUACUGGGCGUAAAGCGCGUGCAGGCGGAAGGAGCAGUCUGAUGUGAAAGCCCGGGGCUUAACCCCGGAAGAGCAUUGGAAACCAUCCUUCUUGAGUGCUGGAGAGGAAGGGGGAAUUCCCGGUGUAGAGGUGAAAUUCGUAGAGAUCGGGAGGAAUACCAGUGGCGAAGGCGCCCUUCUGGACAGUCAAACUGACGCUGAGACGCGAAAGCGUAGGGAGCAAACAGGAUUAGAUACCCUGGUAGUCCACGCUGUAAACGAUGAGAACUAGGUGUAGCGGGUACUCAUUCCUGCUGCGUCCCGUAGA
rnacentral:rRNA from 1 species